AUUGAACGCUGGCGGCAGGCCUAACACAUGCAAGUCGAGCGGAUGAAGGGAGCUUGCUCCUGGAUUCAGCGGCGGACGGGUGAGUAAUGCCUAGGAAUCUGCCUGGUAGUGGGGGAUAACGUCCGGAAACGGGCGCUAAUACCGCAUACGUCCUGAGGGAGAAAGUAGGGGAUCUUCGGACCUCACGCUAUCAGAUGAGCCUAGGUCGGAUUAGCUAGUUGGUGGGGUAAAGGCCUACCAAGGCGACGAUCCGUAACUGGUCUGAGAGGAUGACCAGUCACACUGGAACUGAGACACGGUCCAGACUCCUACGGGAGGCAGCAGUGGGGAAUAUUGGACAAUGGGCGAAAGCCUGAUCCAGCCAUGCCGCGUGUGUGAAGAAGGUCUUCGGAUUGUAAAGCACUUUAAGUUGGGAGGAAGGGCAGUAAGUUAAUACCUUGCUGUUUUGACGUUACCAACAGAAUAAGCACCGGCUAACUUCGUG
rnacentral:rRNA from 1 species